rnacentral:rRNA from 1 species
AUACGUAGGGGGCGAGCGUUGUCCGGAAUGAUUGGGCGUAAAGGGCGCGUAGGCGGCCCGGUAAGUCUGGAGUGAAAGUCCUGUUUUUAAGAUGGGAAUUGCUUUGGAUACUGUCGGGCUUGAGUGCAGGAGAGGUAAGUGGAAUUCCCAGUGUAGCGGUGAAAUGCGUAGAGAUUGGGAGGAACACCAGUGGCGAAGGCGACUUACUGGACUGUAACUGACGCUGAGGCGCGAAAGUGUGGGGAGCAAACAGGAUUAGAUACCCUGGUAGUCCACACUGUAAACGAUGAAUACUAGGUGUGCGGGGACUGACCCCCUGCGUGCCGGCGUUAACACAAUAAGUAUUCCACCUGGGGAGUACGAUCGCAAGGUUGAAACUCAAAUGAAUUGACGGGG